GACGAACGCUGGCGGCGUGCCUAACACAUGCAAGUCGAACGGAGUGUUUAUUUAUAAACACUUAGUGGCGAACGGGUGAGUAACGCGUAGACAAUCUACCCUCUAGAUGGGGACAACACCGCGAAAGUGGUGCUAAUACCGAAUGUUGUAAUGUUGUUGCAUAAUGAUAUUACUAAAGGUGGCCUCUAUAUAUAAGCUACCGCUAGAGGAUGGGUCUGCGUCUGAUUAGCUAGUUGGUGAGAUAACAGCUCACCAAGGCAAUGAUCAGUAGCCGGUCUGAGAGGAUGAACGGCCACACUGGGACUGAGACACGGCCCAGACUCCUACGGGAGGCAGCAGUGGGGAGUCUUCCGCAAUGGACGAAAGUCUGACGGAGCAACGCCGCGUGAGUGAAGAAGGUUUUCGGAUCGUAAAGCUCUGUCUUCAAGGACGAAUGUAGAUAUUGUGAAUAAUGAUAUUUAAUGACGGUACUUGAGGAGGAAGCCACGGCUAACUACGUGCCAGCCGCCGCGGUAAAAC
rnacentral:rRNA from 1 species